rnacentral:rRNA from 1 species
GAUGAACGCUGGCGGCGUGCCUAAUACAUGCAAGUCGAGCGAAUGGAUUAAGAGCUUGCUCUUAUGAAGUUAGCGGCGGACGGGUGAGUAACACGUGGGUAACCUGCCCAUAAGACUGGGAUAACUCCGGGAAACCGGGGCUAAUACCGGAUAACAUUUUGAACCGCAUGGUUCGAAAUUGAAAGGCGGCUUCGGGUGUCACUUAUGGAUGGAACCGCGUCGCAUUAGCUAGUUGGUGAGGUAACGGCUCAACAAGGCAACGAUGCGUAGCCGACCUGAGAGGGUGAUCGGCCACACUGGGACUGAGACACGGCCCAGACUCCUACGGGAGGCAGCAGUAGGGAAUCUUCCGCAAUGGACGAAAGUCUGACGGAGCAACGCCGCGUGAGUGAUGAAGGCUUUCGGGUCGUAAAACUCUGUUGUUAGGGAAGAACAAGUGCUAGUUGAAUAAGCUGGCACCUUGACGGUACCUAACCAGAAAGCCACGGCUAACUACGUGCCAGCCGCCGCCGUAA